rnacentral:lncRNA from 1 species
CAAGCUGCCAACAUGAUUUACUGAAUUUAAUAUUUGUAUAUGCAGUAAUUAUGCUUAUAUGCCAAUAGAUAAUAGUUCUUAGAUUAAAUAAUUAUACACUGAACUUAAAUAAAGUGCCAAGGCCCUGUGACCUGCAGUGCCCACUUGGGAAAAGGAGGUAAUUUUGCAUGUGCAGAGUUAGUUUGGAAACCACAGCCAAAAUAUCGAACCAUUUAUGUUUGUUUCUGAAUGCCAAAGAUAACUAACGACAACAACUUUGUACCAUAAAUAUCAGUAUUAUUUAAGCAGAAGCAAUUUUUACUGGAGAAAAUAAUAAGAGAACACUUUCAAACCGACACAUUGCAAUGUAUUCUUUUUGUACUGAUGGCAGUUUUGCCUCAGAUGUUUGUUUAGUGACCACAGUUGCUAUUUCUGGUUUAAAUGUGGUGUCUGAAAGAAUUUCCUUCAACUUUCUGGUUAGUAUAAUUUUGCAGGAGAAUAGCUAUUCCUAUUUUUUAUUGCAAAGAAAGUAAACUAGCUUCUAAAUACUUGGCUUUUGCAGAACCUAUAGUUUGAGGCAUAAUUAUCUUAUAUUGGGAAUUGUUUUAAUUGGAAAAGAGAUUAAUUCUGGAAGCAAGUCAAGCCUGCUUUAAUGUGUUUUUUUGUCCAUGGUGGGCAUCUGCAAUUAAGGGUCUUGCUCUCUAGAGUCCAAUUCUACAAAUGAUUUUUUACCACUAAAGCCAUGGAUGUCUCUGGAAAAAAAUCAGGCUUUCUGUGCUUCAGUUAUUAGUAAUCUCUUCAUUGCUAAAUGUUGGUGAUGGUCGUAGUUAUGUCCUGGUAGUGUUCUCAUUAGUGAGAAGAAUGGGCACAUGAAUUAAAUGCAGCAAGUGCUGUGAUGUCUCAUCUUCUAAUGAAACAUAGAAGCAAUUAAUAUAACCAGAAUAACAAUGGCGGCAGAGACAACAUUUUUACUACCUCAAGGAGCUGCACCACAUGUUCCAAGAAGAGGUCCACAUAAUCCUUGCAUUGUCACAGAUGCUAUUCUUGAUACAUUUUAGAUCAGGGGUCAGCAAACAUUUUCAACAGGGGGCCAGUCCACUGUCCCUUAGACCUUGUGGGAGGCUGGAAUAUAUAUAUAUAUAUUUGGGGGGGGGGACAAAUUCCUAUGCCCCACAAAUAACCCAGAAAUGCAUUUUAAAUAAAAGGACACAUUCUACUCAUGUAAAAACACGCUGAUUCACGGACCGUCCAUGGGCCGGAUUUAGAAGGUGGUUGGGCCGAAUCUGGCCCCCGGGCCUUAGUUUGCCCACCCAUGUUUUAGAUAAAUCCAAGUUGCAUUUUGAUGUAUGAUAGCAACUGAAACAAUUUAGUUCUAGGCUCCGGUUGAAAAGGAUGCUGGGGUACAGCUAUGGGUAUUCAGUGUCAUUGCAGCAUCCUCUGCAGCAGUGCAAAAAUCCUGAAGUGCACUUCCAGUUGAAAUGUUUACACUGCUGUGUUAUAAAAAACUAAGUGGUUUACAUAGGGUUGCCAUAUUUCAAAAAGUAAAAUUCCUGACACCCGCAAGUUGUUGAACUUAAAACCAUAAAAUGUUAAAAAGCAUGUUACAAGAUAAGCAACUGUUCGAGCUUAUGGUAUAGUCAGGCUAGCUGUGAUGGUGAGUUCCUCCCCCUUCUUUAUAAACCAUCUUUAGAUAUAAAAUACCUCAUCUUUUCUUAUGAGUAAUGAACUUUAAGAAUUAAAUAUUUCUCAAUAUGAAAAGAAAUCAGAGAAGACUAGACUUUUCUUUUUGUAGAUUUGAGAGACAUAUCUACUGAUUCCCCCCCCAAAAAACCUGCAGUUGUAUAAUAUAGUGGCUAGCGGGUCCCCCUCAACCCCAUGAGCAAGGUAAUAACAUACAACUCUCAAAUGAACAAAGCACAGAACCAGAUCUUCUCCAAUCCCAUUGCCUUGGUCCAGCAUCCCCAAGCUGAUGCCCUCCAGAUGUUCUGGACUAAAAUUUCCAUCAGCUGCAUCAGGAGGGAUGGCUAGCUUGGGGAGGCUGCCAGAAGGUCUAUUAGGUCAGAGAUGAUGAUGCAAGUGAAGCUCAACUUUAUUGUCUUCUACUUGAGUAUGUUUAACCUUUUUGUUUUGGACUCACUGCCUUUGUGUGGCUAGUGUAAAAGGAGUAUGGUUUCAGGAUGUUGCUGGGUAAAACACUGUAGUUUGGGAGAACUGGUUGAUCUAGUAUAGGAUGGUAUUAAUAUGCCCCUUUGUCUGGUAAUAUUGGAGGCACUCAAUAUGCAUAGUUGAGGUGCUGAGAAUAUUUGUAUUAAUGCUGAUAACCCUUUUAAGGUUAUUUUUGCACGUUUUGGUUAAAUGCAAAUUGUCCUUCAAUAUACAGUAGCUACUGAAAUAGUUUAAUUCUCAUUUUACAUACAAGAUUAGAUUUUUAUACAUGUACAUUAUGCAGUAAUGGCGAAGGCUAGUGAUAGUCACUUGAGAGAUAAUAGCAUUUAUAUAUUCUAUCAGUUUAAUAACUCUACAGGGCCAAUUGGCCUUUUCAUAUUCCUAUUAUGAUGAUGAUUUAAUGCCCGAUAAAGCAAGUUUUCCUGGAACUCUGGUUUUAGCUGAUCAGAAUAAUUUUGCUUUGCUUCUUUCACCUUCGGAGGCUUAUCUGGAGAGUUUCAGAAUUAUGUGUUGACUCAUUUAUAGGUUCCUGUUACAUAUGUUUGUUAAAUACAACAGACCACAACCUUAAAGUACAGUAUAGGGCAAGAAAGAGUUUCUGCCUGCCCUGGGCUUCUUCUGCCUUUCCUCUGAGCACUACAAUUUAAAUAUUGGUGGAAUAUUCAGAGCAUUUAUUCAGUAGAUCUGUAGUUGAGUGCAAGUCAUGCCCAUUAACAAAAACCUUACAGUAUUGUUUACAAUUAUGAAACAGUGAAUGAGGCCAUGCACUUCAUCCUACUGCAGUGGCAGGAUGCUUAACUUUGUUCAUAUCUUGCACUCGCUGAGCAGAGAACAGGAGGGGGAAAAUGCAUUGUUCUGAAAAACAAAGAACUGAGCAAUAUUAACAAGAUAAACACUGUCCCAAUGAAAGCCAUUUCUGGACUGUGUUUAUCCAAAUUUAAGACACAAGACAUGAGGUAACCUACAUGUGAUGUUUAAUGUGGAAAAUUAAAUGAGUUUCAUGCAUGAGUGAUGAGACAAAAUUUCCUUUUGACACCAGAUUCUUAUGUCAUGGCUUAUCCUAUGAGGUGGGAUUUUCAGUGUGCAUCAGGGUCUUAAAGUGGAAAGCUUAAAAGCCCCUGUCUGUGAGCAGAGUAACAUAAGCAGAAUUGCUGUUGGUUUGGAUCCCUAUGAUUUCUCUUCAAUUCUGAAACUGUCUUGGUAAAAAAUGUGCAGGUAGCAACUCAAAGCCUCCCUCUUUCCAACUUAUAGCGGCAGGGUCGCUAACAUUUAAGCUGUUUAGACAGGCUGUCUCCCUCUUCGCCUUGCCUAUUUCUUUUUAGAAACUUUCUUUCAGUAUACUGUUGUGUCCUUGCUACUGGUUUCUGAAGCUAUCAGCUGUUUUGAUAUUUCAUUAUUUAUCUUCUACAAAUGGUGGGCCAAAAUGCUCAGUUAAAAUCCAUAUUGUCAGUGAUUGAUGGCUAAAUUGAUUAAGGAAUCAGAUAAACUUUCCUUCUAGCAAUGUGGCUGCUUUUUGCUUAUUACAUUUUAACUUGUCUAGCACAUCCAAUAUAAUUAAAACAAUAUUACUAUUCAGGUUUUGGUGAUAUACUACAAAUUUUUUGAAUUGCACAUUUUAAAAGCCAAAUCAAGUCUAAAACAGCUGACAAUCCUACUUCCUCCCAGAAGCUCUAAAAUGAGCAAAUACCAUCUAUGGGGGCGGGGACCCAAACUGAGCUAUCUUGCAGUGCAGUCCUAUACAUGUCUGCUCAAAAGUAUGUACCAUUGUGUUCAGUGAAGCUGACUCCCAUUUCUGGAGGUAAGUCUGAGAAACACAGGCUUUGGAAGUGGUGUUGCCAUACCUUUCCUUAAUAUACCCCCAUUCUCCCUCUGCCACAAUUUUAAUUUCUCAAAAGGGUUUAAUUCUUUAAUUAUUAUUUUCAAAUUGAAUGGCUAACAGUGCAAUCCUGUACUCUUAUUCUGCCAGGAUGAGGGAAGACACACACCAUAUUCAGUGCAUUCUCAGCCCUGGAGAGGAGGAGGGAUAAAACUAGAAAAUGCAAAUAUGGCAUAAAAAUCAGCAGAUAAGCACUACCCAUGACCCUGGAAACACCACCAGUUCUCACCAAUCUGAGACUGCCAAUAACUGAAGAAGCAAAUCAUCUCCUGAUGAUGAAAACACUCUCCCAGCAAACACCAUCACAUACACAAAACACGCAAGGUGGUAAUGGCAGUUGUGGACUGAACUGAGACAAGUGACUUUUUCAUGCUAUGAGCUAUGGAAAAGUCAGGGUAUGUGUGUGUGUAAAUUGAAUGUUGAUUGAUAAUGAGAUUGAUUGAUAAGUGCUAUAUUCUGUUGGUGCCGAACGUCGCAGCAUCUUAGCCAAACAUACACAAUAGCCAGUGGUACCUGUUGGAGGUGUAGAUCUUCAAAUGCUGAGGUAUGGCAUAUAUUUGGGGCAUGUCCUAAAAUCAGAAAAAAUUGGGAAGACAGAUUAAAGACAAUUGAAGUAAUCACUGGUUAUACUUUACCCAUGGGGCCCGCUAAUUCUUCUGUCUGGAUAUCUUAAACUUUACUAACAGUGGAUGGAGAAUUAAUGCAACAUCUCUUAACUGCUGAAAUAAUUAUUAUUUGUUGGAAUUGGAAAAGAAAAUGAGAACACCAUCCUUGAGAGAAUGGAUAACUAAAAUUUGGGACAUAGUAUGUAUGGUUAAGCAUACAUAUAUGGUAAGAAUCAGAUAGGGUUGACAAAUUGAGUCUUUUAAUAAUGUACUUGUGUAAUAAGGUACAGGAUAAUGUAAACUCGUUUAUGUUACUUGGAACCUGUGAUACGAAUUUGUUAUAUUCAACUGUGGUAUUACAAUUUGUUCCUUUAUCUUUAGCUCUAGAUAUCUCUUUCUACUUUUAUUUCAUGUGUCAUCUGUUAUACUUCGUAAAGGUAUAAAUAAAUAUAUGU